rnacentral:lncRNA from 1 species
AAAAAUCUAAAAAACUGACCCUACAACCAAAAGCGACGGAUCUAGCAACCCAGCUCCCAUUUUUAGUGUUGCUUCUAUUUUUCCUCAUCUUGAACAAGACAACAGGACUCUCUCUCCCAUCUGAAGGAAACGAAGAACAGGAGAGACAAAAAAUGGCGGAUCUCACCAAGAAAUGAAAGACCCAAAAGCAGCCUCUUCUUCUCCUCUUCAUCUUCUAAAAUGAGGAGGCCUCUCCCCUUCCCUUGAUUCUCAUUUAAAAGACACACUCACACACGAUAAAAUGGGCCUACAAAAUUCGGGAAUCUGGGAAUUUCAAGAGUUUAAAAAGCAAAGAAAAAGUAAAAAAAAAAUUGAACGACAAAAGAGUUUCAAAUCUGGUCCAGUUUUUUUCCUGUUUCUUCUGCUGCAAUUUUUGGAAAUCCGAGUGAUUUUGGAGCUAUGAUAAGUGCUUGUUUUGCGAUUUGUUAUGCUAAAUUCGUGGAUGAAAGCCGACUUUCACUUUCCGCUUUCAUAUGGCGUUUGUUGUUCGUUUAUUCUAGCAGAAAGGUAAACACAUAAAACUCCGAAUGUACUUAAAUGUUCUUCAAUGAAAAAUGAGUUGUCGAUCUACUCGAGAUCUUGUAUGACGUUUGUUUUGCUCAGAUUUUGUAUAAAAUCUGUCCCCUUAGUGUGAAUCUGAUUAUGACUUGAAGCUAUAACUCAAAGAUGUUAAUUUGAGCAUUUAAAAUUCACUAUGUGUCGAUUUGAUUAACAGUUGAAGUGCUUACUUUAAGAUUAAAUCCGAAAUGUUUCUCUAUGCUAUUCUGCUUGCGUGAUAAUCUCCUUGGUCUGGUUUAAUUCAGUUUAUAUUCUGUCAAAGUUUGCCAAUUAGAAAUGAUGUUGAUUUUUGAAUUUACCGAAAAUAAUAGUUAUAGUUGAUGUGGAAAGCUCAGACACUAGCGUGCUUCAGUUGUUCUGGUUUGUAGGUAAAUUAUUUCAAAUGAAAUGAGCUCAUGUUUGAAGUUUUUCUCUCUGAUUUGUUUUGGCUUCAUGGACUUCUCUUUCUCUGAUUUGCUCUAUGAUCUUAGUACUGCCUCCUCCUUGCUUGGUUUGUUCGACACUUGACCUUCAUCUCAAAUUAUUUCAGUCAAAAAAUAUUGUUUGCCUCAAGCUUUAGGAGUUUAUUGUAAGAACACAUUCCCAUGUUGUUGCAUUUAGAGCAAUUACAAGUCAAGAAGGAAUGACUGUAGACCGGUACUACUUUGAUUUCAAGUUCUUUGACUCUUUGACCAUGUAUUAAGAAAAAUCUCAAUAGUUUUAGUGGUAAAUCAAGUUCUUAUGCUUAUUACGUCAAAGUCUC